GAAAUUGACCCCUGAAUUACAGUAGCGUCUUUGGGCACUGGAGGACAGAUGCAAAUCUACUGUGAAGUUCUUUCCAAGCAGGGAGCCAACUACACCUGGGAGAAGAAUGUGGCAUGGUACCACAGAGUUGAGCCCUCUCUCGACACAGUGCUGUGGAUCCUGGUGGGAAGGUGUCCAUGGACAGGUCAUCAGUGGAUUUUGGGACUGCAAGAGAACAGAAAGAAGAUAAGUCUUCGUACACCUUCAGAUGUCCAUAUCCCGGGUGGACCAACUGACAUUGCUGAGGAUGCUGAGUUACAGCCAGAAUGGAUCCCAAGAUCACAUGAUGACACACAAGAAAUGUGAUUCUGCAGAACUGCAAAAUCUGGAGAAGAUCAUGAAAAUUCAUAAAGAAUUGAUAAAAAGAAGAGAAAAUAUGAUGGAUAUUCCUGAAGAAGCUGUAUCAGUAGGGGAGUUUCUAUUACAAGUAACUGGAAAGUUGCUCAUAAAAAGAUGUCCUCAAAGCACUGGAAAUGGUAGCCGCUCAAACCUUCCACAAGUGUAUUGCAACAAGAAUGAAGAUAUGUGCAGAGAACAUAGAGGUGGCAGAAAGAAGGCAGCUGACAGUGCCACAGAACAUGCCAGCAAAAGGUGUCUUGAAGGAGAUGAAGGCCUGUAUUGCUCAAUUUUAACUGCACCCCAUUUUAGUUCCGGGCAUUUCCCUGACCAUGGAGGACCUUCUCCUGACACAGGAAGGACACUUCUCAGGGCAACCCCUGCUGUGUUCACAGCUCCCUGGAUGAGAAGAGGUUGCUGCUUUAUCUUGGCUUAGCUAUUCCAGAAACACUUAACAGAAUGGUGACUUCCCUGUCAUUGCAUUAUAUAGAUCUUGUGUGUAUGGUACAAGCAGGAACACUUUGAAAGAGAAGUUAGAAAAUGUCAUGUGUAUUGUAUACUAUAAAAAUGUCAGUUUAUCUUGCAUGUAUUUUUAAUGAUAGUCACUUUCUAACUUUCUUUUUGUUUGAUACAAACAGUAAACUUGUUC
rnacentral:lncRNA from 1 species